GCUCAAUUUCGAGUCCAAUAGCAAAGGGUUUGAAUACUUAUGAUGUUGCUGGGCCCAGCACGGGCAAUGUGGUCCACUGGUCUUCUGGUGACAGUGACCACAGAAGAGAACAAGAAGAAGCACAGACAGAGAGAGUGACAGCAGAGAAGAUGCAGAGACUGACUGCACAACAGGGACGCAACACAGGCACGGUUAUAGGCGUUAGUUGUGUCUCCAGUGGUGUUUCAACAUGUUGUAUUUAAACAUAAGCUGGUUAAAAAAUAAGAAAAAAGAAGAAAAAGAAGGAGAAGGAGGACCAUGUUUAGCCAAUCACUGAACCAGUGAUACCAGAAGAAACCAAGACCCAUAUAAAAGUGACUUAGGUAAAAGCCCCAGGAGAGGAUGAGGUUGACAACAGGCUCCUCAUAGAAGCUCCACAAUAUUACCUGAACCUGCUGGGUCAGCUCUUCUCUGCCUGCCUCCAAAACUGGCCACUUCCCCACACCCUGGAAGUCGGCACUGGUGACAAUGAUUUGAGGACUUAACAAUGCCUUGCCCAGCUCCUUGAGAAAGAGCCAUCUCCUCUGGAGCUUCUGUGAGAGAAAAAUUACAUAUUUACCUGAUGUGUUUAAUAUUAAUAGUUAACAAUUAUAUGCUGAGGAGGAUUUCUAUUCUACCAAUUCUGUGCUUCUGAGAUAGGAUGGUCCCCUUUUAGCUCCCCACAGCUGGUCUAGGUGUGUAGUCAAGGACAUUCUUGUCAACUCCAGUUGGAGAUAAACUUGAGGAACAGAAUAAACCUGUAUUGUUUCCAAUCAUCUUUGUUUCUGAAUAACUUGGUCACACGGCAUAAGACAAAGAGCCUCAGAGUGACCACAGUUGUUCACUCCAUCCUCUUUUACUAUCUUCCAAGGGCACAGGUGUGUGGAGAUAUGAAGAGAAUAGAGACUAGCUUGGUAGAGUUAGGAGUAACAGAACUGACGUGAUCACUUGUUUGUGUGCCACGACCUCACACACCUGAUACAUAUAGCCACAAGAAGAAAACAAGGUAGCUUAUGAUGCCCCGAUCUGCCGGGUAGAGGUGGAACCAGCCAUGACUAAGCAGUUUUUGCUUUUCUUUAUAAACCCCUUGCGUUUCUGUAUUAUUCGGGCUCUCAAUGAUCACCUAUGGCUG